rnacentral:rRNA from 1 species
UACGUAGGGUGCGAGCGUUAAUCGGAAUUACUGGGCGUAAAGCGUGCGUAGGCGGUUCGCAAAGUCUGAUGUGAAAGCCCCGGGCUCAACCUGGGAAUUGCGCGCGAAACGGGCGGGCUUGAGUUCGGGAGAGGAGCGUGGAAUUCCCAGUGUAGAGGUGAAAUUCGUAGAUAUUGGGAAGAACACCGGUGGCGAAGGCGGCGCUCUGGACCGAGACUGACGCUGAGGAGCGAAAGCGUGGGGAGCAAACAGGGAU